rnacentral:pre_miRNA from 1 species
ACCCUGUAGAAUCGAAUUUGUGUGCCCGCCUCAAUCACAGAUUCGUCUCUAGGGGAGU